rnacentral:rRNA from 1 species
AUGAUAUAUAUAUAUAUAAGUUCAGCCAGAGGCCUUCCAUUUCAUAAGCAAAUUAAGCAAACGGCUUCCAUGGCCGACGACCUUGAAACUGGAGGCACUGUCAAUGGCAGCGGCGAGCCUCGUACAGUUUCAAAGCUGUAUGAGUUCAAGGAGCAGCUCCUGCUGCUGUCGACUCUGGUCGCAACGGUGACAUACGUCGCCGGGCUGAACCUGCCCGGGGGAUCCUGGGAGCAGGAUGACCCGGGAGGUCACAUGGCUGGCGAUCCGAUCCUCCGGGACACCCACUACCGCCGUUACCUCGCCUUCUACUACUGCAACGCCACCGCGCUCGCCGCGUCGCUCGUGGUCUCCCUCAUCCUCAUCAUCCUGGAGGAGAAGCACAUUGUCUCGACAGUGGUGCUGCGGAUGGUCAUGAUGCUCGACCUACUCAGCCUCGUGGGUGCCUACGGCGCUGGGAGCUGCCGGGAUACAUUCACAACCAUCUUCGCGGUGGUAGUCUUCUCCUUUUUGGUAUUGAUUAUCAUCUUUGGUUUCUUCUACCUCUGGCUCCAUCGUCAUGAUAAGUUCCCCUCCAACUCCAACUCUAACUCCAAUCGUCCCAUCACGACCCCUGGCUUGAACUCCACCUCCAAGUCCAGAUUCUUCCUCAGCGUGAGGCGAAUCCAGAAACAGAACAGUGUGGUGAAGUCAUUCGUCGACGCCAAGAAGGAAGAGAAGGAGAAGAUUGAUGUGUUGAUGUUACUCGCAACUUUUGCUGUCACCAUCACAUACGUAGCUGGGCUGAGCCCGCCUGGUGGGUUCUGGAGCAGCACCGAGGACGGACACCGUUUGAGCGACCCGGUGUUGCAAGCUCGUGGCCGGUACCGUGCCUUCUUUGUUUGCAACACCACUUCGUUCGCCGUGUCCCUUCUCAUCAUCGUGUUGCUCUUGGAGAAGAAGCUGCUGAAGAAGCAGCUGAGCGAAAAAUUCACGGUGCGAUUCACAGUGCCCUAUGUGUUGAUCGCCGUCGCUCUGUUGGGCCUUAUGGUAGCCUAUGCUGCCGGGAGCUGCAGGGAGGCUGACAAUACCAUCUUUGUCCUUACCCUCACCGCUGCGGUUCCUGUCUGUGUGUGCCUCCAACUGGUGGUUGUUACUUGCACAAAUUGUUGGGAAGGACUCGCGACCAAGUGUGGUGAUGUCUUAGGAUGGUUCAAGAGACGGGUCAACACUCCUCGAGGCACCUCCAUAAGCACGGACAUCGAGCUACACCUUCAAAACACUCGCUAUCUUGUUAUGCUCCUUGCUACUCUUGUGGUGACCAUCACUUACCAAGCAGGACUCGAUCCACCUGGCGGACUUUGGCUAGACAGCCGGGAUGGGCAUACAAUCGGCCACCCGGUACUCCAAACAACACAUCCUACUCGGUAUCAAGUGUUCUUCUACAGCAACUCAGCAGCUUUUGUCACAUCGUUGGUUGUCAUCAUGAUGCUCCAGAGCAAGUAUCUGCUCACGCGGCACACACUAGAAGCAACCCUAGUACUGGACCUAUUCGGUCUCAUUACUGCCUAUGGCGCCGGGAGCACUAGGGAUGUAAACGCAUCCUUCUACAUCAUUGCCUUGGCGGGCAUUGUCCUUGUCUAUGUUGUUGUCCAUAUCACCAUAAGAGACCAUGACCCUGAGCCAGCAGGUGGUGAUGCUGCAGUAAAGGUUCUCGAUGACAAGCGUAAGGUGUUGCUACUGGUUGCUAUCUUGGCUGCUACCCUGACGUACCAAGCUGGUCUCACUCCUCCAGGUGGCUUCUGGUUAGCGGAUGACCAAGGGCUUGGUCGUCGUGCGGGCUUCCCAGUCCUCCUUGGCAAUUACCCUCCUCGUUACCAUGCAUUCUUCUAUUGCAAUGCAGCGAGUUUCAUGGCAUCCGUAACACUCAUCCUUCUUCUCAUCAAUCCAAAGCUAUACAGGCCAGGUAUACGUUGUUAUGCACUCUAUGUGUGCAUGCUGGUGGGCAUGUUUGGCCUCAUGGGUGCCUAUGCUGCUGGAAGCUCCCGGCAUCUCAAAACCUCCAUCAUUUUGUUAACCUUGGUUGCCGCUGUAUCAGCAUUCAUAGCCUUGCUAGUAGCCAUUUUCUGGUACAUCUAUAGAUGCAGAAAAAAAGCAGCAGCAGCAGUGGCGGCGGCAGUAACAAUGGCAACAACAGCAUCGGCUGCAAUAACAACAGCAGCGGCGGCAGCAACAAGAGCAGCGGCGGCAGCAACAACAGAAACAACAACCACAACAGCAAUAAUAGCAGCAAGAUUGAUAGCAGGGGCAACAACAACAGAAACAACAACCACAACAGCAAUGAUAGCAGCAAGAUUGACAGCAGGGGCAAUAACAACAUCAACGGUAGCACCAACAACAGAAACAAAAACCACAACAACAAUGAUAGCAGCAAGAUUGACAGCAGGGGCAACAACAACAUCAACUCUAGCACCAACAACAGAAACAACAACCACAGCAGCAAGAUUGACAGCAGCGGCAACAACAACGACACCACAAGCAGCACAAACAACAGCAACAAGCAGCAACAGCAGCAGCAGUAAAGAGAAAGAGAGACUUGAAUACUUGAUGUUACUAGGGAUCCUUGGCGCAAGUAUGACAUACCAGACUGGCCUAAAGCCACCAGGCGGCCUAUGGCAGGACAACAUGAAUGGGCACUAUGCUGGCAACCCCAUCCUCCACGACACCAACAAGCACCGGUAUAAUGCUUUCUUUUAUGGCAACUCCACUUCAUUCAUGGCGUCGAUCGUGGUGGUCGUCAUGCUGCUCCCAUUGACAUUCCAUGAACACGACCUGUCACUCUGGCCGAUGCAUUCAGCCAUUUUGCUGGACAUGCUUAGCCUCCUAGUUGCCUAUGCAGCAGGCAGUACUAGGGAGUGGGAAACCUCCAGAAACGUCAUGUUACUCGUCAUCCCUGUGUUGCUCUACAUUGCGGUCUACGUAACAGCUUCGGUCUUCUACCACAGGAAAGACCAUGUGGAACCGCCAAACCAGACUCCGCCCCCCACUGCUAGAGUGACUGCCACACCACAUCAGGAAACCAACUGA